UUGUAUUGGAAUUCUAACGAGAGCCGUAACAAAGCUGCGGACAGUCUCAGGCGGGCAGUUUGACUGGGGCGGUCGCCUCCAAAAGAGUAACGGAGGCGCCCAAAGGUUCCCUCAGAACGGUUGGAAAUCAUUCGCAGAGUGUAAAGGUAGAAGGGAGCUUGACUGCGAGAGAGACAACUCGAGCAGGUACGAAAGUAGGGCUUAGUGAUCUGGUGGUACUGAGUGGAAAGGCCAUCGCUCAACGGAUAAAAGCUACCCUGGGGAUAACAGGCUUAUCUCUCCCAAGAGUUCACAUCGACGGGGAGGUUUGGCACCUCGAUGUCGGCUCAUCACAUCCUGGGGCUGAAGUAGGUCCCAAGGGUUGGGCUGUUCGCCCAUUAAAGUGGUACGCGAGCUGGGUUCAGAACGUCGUGAGACAGUUCGGUCCCUAUCCAUCGCGGGCGCAAGAAACUUGAAAGGGGCUGCUCCCAGUACGAGAGGACCGGAGUGGACGAACCGAUGGUGUACCAGUCAUAUCGCCAGAUGUGCAGCUGGGUAGCUACGUUCGGGACGGAUAAACGCUGAAAGCAUCUAAGCGUGAAACCAGCCUAAAGAUGAGGUUUCUCAUUGGAAACAAGUAAGGUCCCACAAAGACGAUGUGGUAGAUAGGCCGGGAGUGGAAGUACAGCAAUGUAUGGAGCGGACCGGUACU
rnacentral:rRNA from 1 species